AUUGAACGCUGGCGGCAGGCCUAACACAUGCAAGUCGAACGAGUGGCGGACGGGUGAGUAAGGUCUGGGAAACUGCCUGAUGGAGGGGGAUAACUACUGGAAACGGUAGCUAAUACCGCAUACCAUCGGAUGUGCCCAGAGGGGAGUAGCUAGUAGGGGGGGUAAAGGGUCACCUAGGCGACGCUCCCUAGCUGGUCUGAGAGGAUGACCAGCCACACUGGAACUGAGACACGGUCCAGACUCCUACGGGAGGCAGCAGUGGGGAAUAUUGCACAAGGGGCGCAAGCCUGAUGCAGCCAUGCGGCGUGUAUGAAGAAGGCCUUCGGGUUGUAAAGUACUUUCAGCGGGGAGGCGUUACCCGCAGAAGAAGCACCGGCUAACUCCGUGCCAGCCGCCGCGGUAAUAC
rnacentral:rRNA from 1 species